GUCCUCGUAGCAUAAUCGGAUAAUGCAAUCGCCUCCUAAGCGAUAGACUGGAGGUUCAAUUCCUCUCGGGGACGCCA
rnacentral:tRNA from 1 species